rnacentral:rRNA from 1 species
ACUCCUACGGGAGGCAGCAGUGAGGAAUAUUGGUCAAUGGGCGAAAGCCUGAACCAGCCAUGUCGCGUGCAGGACGACUGCCCUAUGGGGUUGUAAACUGCUUUUAUAUGGGAAGAAAUGCGAGUACGUGUACUUGUUUGCCGGUACCAUAUGAAUAAGCAUCGGCUAACUCCGUGCCAGCAGCCGCGGUAAUACGGAGGAUGCGAGCGUUAUCCGGAUUCAUUGGGUUUAAAGGGUGCGUAGGCGGAAGUGUAAGUCAGGGGUGAAAGUUUGCAGCUCAACUGUAAAAUUGCCUUUGAUACUGCAUUUCUUGAGUACAUUUGAGGUAGGCGGAAUGUGUUGUGUAGCGGUGAAAUGCUUAGAUAUAACACAGAACACCGAUUGCGAAGGCAGCUUACUAAACUGUAACUGACGCUGAUGCACGAAAGCGUGGGAUCGAACAGGAUUAGAUACCCCUGGUAGCACAGAG